rnacentral:rRNA from 1 species
GGUACCUACAGAAGAAGUCCUGGCUAACUCCGUGCCAGCAGCCGCGGUAAUACGGAGAGGGCUAGCGUUAUUCGGAAUUAUUGGGCGUAAAGGGCGCGUAGGCGGAUUAGUAAGUUAAAAGUGAAAUCCCAAGGCUCAACCUUGGAAUUGCUUUUAAAACUGCUAAUCUAGAGAUUGAAAGAGGAUAGAGGAAUUCCUAGUGUAGAGGUGAAAUUCGUAAAUAUUAGGAGGAACACCAGUGGCGAAGGCGUCUAUCUGGUUCAAAUCUGACGCUGAAGCGCGAAGGCGUGGGGAGCAAACAGGAUUAGAUACCCUGGUAGUCCACGCUGUAAACGAUGAGUGCU